GCGUCAUUGACGCAAGCGGCGCUGCUAAAUUUAGCGCCGCCGGGCCCCGCGCGGGGCGCUCGGGAUCGCGCGCGGGGGAGGAGGCGGGGCCGCGGCCCAUUGAGUGGCGGCGGCGGGCGGGCGCGCGGGGCUAUUUUUGGCACACCCCCCCCCCCAACUCCCCCCCUCCUUCCCGGGUUGUGAUCCGGCCAAACCAAAUAUAGAUGCGGGCGGGUAUUUAUAGCGCCGGCGAGUCCCAUUGUCGUGGGGCCACGCCCCCGCCCGGCUUCCUCUGCGCAGGGGGUGGAGUGCGGGGCAAAGGACGGGGGGGAUCCCGACAAGCACCCGAACACCUCUCUGGCAGCCCCUCCGGAGAGGAAAAGCCGCUGUUGGACGCUGUCGGAGGCCGUCUGACCCGACUCUCUUCUCCCACUCUCCCCCCUAAAAAAGGCGUGUCGGGCCGCGUUUGGCGGCGGGGCUUCCCCUCCGCAUGGCCUGCUCGGGACGAUUACCUCGGUGCAGCGUGCUGUUAUCCCAUCCCAUCACAUCCCAUCCCCAUCCCAUCCCUGCCUGCCCCACCCGGCGAACCACUGUUGACAUUCCCGACCCGCGGCCAAGCGCCUGCUGCGGUGGAGCAGCGGGGGGCUGGGGGGCUCGGGGUGGAGGGUGGCGGAGGAGCUGGAGGCAGGAUCACCCCCCUGCCCCGGCGGCGAGGGACGCGCGGGGUGUUUCCGCGGCGGGGAUGCCCCGCUCGGCCGGCCGUGGCGGGGAUACCCCCUGCCUGACGCAACGGAGCGGAGCAGGGGCGGCGGCGGGCACGGCGCAUAGCGCCGCGGUGACCUCAUGGCAGGAGCGGCGCUGGUUGGGAGUCCUCCCCCCGCCCCCCCCCCCUCCAAACCAGCCCUCCCUCCCCUCCCGCUUGUUGAGUAAGCGCCGGGAGAAGCGAAAAUGCCAUGACGGGCCGGUGCGCUCAUCCUCGGUGCUGACAUGCCGCGACAAGGGAGAUUCCCUUUGAUGCCGCUGCCGGCGUGGGCGGCUGAGGGCAAGGGAAGGGAGAGAGAGAGGGUGGCACUUUCCGCCCACCGCUCACCUCGGGCACCGGCCCUGAUAAAAAUACUCCGCUUUCCAUGCUGUCAUUUCUCCUUUGCAUCUCGGCCUCUCUGCUGGGAAAGGGACUCCGCGGAGCGGCUCUGCCCUCCGGGACCACUCACCCCCCUCCAAGCGGGCUACCCCCAGGGGGAUUAAAGCCCCACUGUCAUCCUGAAACUCGCAGCUCCUCACUGAGAGCGCGUGCGAGAACAAAACGUCGGUGCCAGGUCGACGGUCCUAGAAACAGUAUUGCCUCCCCCCUCCUGCUUUUCCUCCCCCGAGUACUCCGUUCAACUUCGCAGCUUCCUCGAGCUGUUCCUGUCUCCCACGACGUGAAAAUAUCGUCAUGCGAGAAGGCUAAAAAAAAACCCCAGCCAACAAAACCCACUCCAAACCCAAAACCGGUGGCAAGAGUGUUUUGAAAGCCUUUAAAAUAAUCUUCGAGGCGCUAUUUAAAGAACUGCUACACAGGAAACGGGAUAUUUGGAGAAAAUGAUUAGAAAGUGGCGUUGAGAGCGCUACGCGCUUCGGGGAGAUGCGGGUGUUGCGCAGGGAGCCGGGCGCUCAGCGGCAGCGGCGCUCAGCCAGGCAGCAGUUCCCUCUGGGGAGAGCACGGUCUGCUGUCCUGCAGUUGUUUGUGACGCAAGAGGUCACUCACUAUAUGCCGUGUGCUUCCCAAGCGGCGAAAAGGAAGUUCUUCAUGCAAGGAACUCCCAAUUAUUAAGCAUAAACACCGAAGCGGAGGGAGAGAUAAGGGGCCAGGAACAACACAAGGCAAAAUGUCUAACUGAUGCGUACGCAGCUUGAUUCGCUGGAGGCGAUGGUGCAGGAGUGAGGGCCAGCGGAUGUCGCUCCCGGGGCUUACUGGAUAACUCAGGAUAAUAAAACAGAGCACUGCAACAAGGGGGGGGGGGAAGCCUUCUGCAAUGUGAAGGAGGCCUUGGGAGAAAUAAAGCUCCGGGAAGUGUGGAAGAUUGUCAAGUGACAUUUGGAAGUGGUGUAACUGAAAAAGCUACAGACCCAACAGAAGAUAGUACCCACCUCCUUCCAGGUCUGUCUUUGAAAAAGCUCACAGGGGUGGGAUUUGGGAUAUAGCUCGUACCAACUUGUUGCAACAGAAGCUCCACCAACUGGUGGAAUUGCCCUGGAAUUCUGCAAUACCACAGAUGGGGAGGCUUGAAUAUUCCUGGACUGACUCAGCCUGUUCACUUUGCCUGGCUUGUAAGACAAUAGACGAUUCUUUCUUGCUCGUGGAGAUCCAAAAUUAAAAGUAAAGGAGGUCACAUAUGAACAAAUAGAACGAUUGCCUGUUAGACAAACCCAUAGACUGAACUGUGAUCAUAUUAAGCAAGAGGAGCUGUUGAGAGCAUAAUUCCUGCUGACCACGUAAGAGCUGAUUAGGAAUGGGAGAAGCCAGGACCAGACAAGGUUCAGACAUGCAAGCAUAGCAGAUUAUUAAACAAGGAGAUGAAGGAGCAUUCAGAGGGAUCUUAAAUUAAGUACAUUAAUUAUGUAAUAAUGAAGCAGCUUUAAACUGGAUUUAUAAUGGAUACAAAAGAACUGCAUUUUGCAUUGGCCUUGAUACUUUCAAAGGGACAAUCUUACUUGAUUGUGCUCACUUAAAGAAAAAUUAGAGAGGGGAAGAAAAUAAAAAAAGCUCAAGCUCAUCUUACCCUAGGCAAAUAUCUCAAAGACUGUAUUGUUUAUUACAGAGAGAUGGAUUUUAAAAAAGGAUCAAGGCCAUGGGGAUGGUUUAUAAUAUUUUAAAAAUAUCAUAAAAUUCUAUAAGUUAAUAAUUAGUUAAUAUUUUUAAUAAAAACUAACAUUUCCCCCUCCAUCUUGUAAGUAGUAAAAUAAUGGCAAUUAAUAAAAUAAUAGCAAUUAUCAUUAUUAUUUUUAUGGCUUCCUUUUGAGCCCUUCAUUUCUAAAUUUAAUUCUUGACUGGAUUGAGAAUCUUUAUUCCUAAGAAGGAGUCUCUUUACUUACCACAUGGAGUACUACACAAACACAACUGUAAAGAAAAUAACAAGUUACAUCAGAUAAUAAUUUAGGCUUGUUCUGCAGGCACUGCCUUUUUGGCAGACCUUCUGUUUGUCUCCUCAAAAACAUCAACUUGUUAUUUAUUUACUUUUCCUAAUAUCUUUCUGUGAGCAGAAGCUUUUCAAUUUCAUCUUCUUUUUAUUACUUUGUCUUUCUGGUUACCCUGUUUGUUUUGCUCCUAAUGAUCUCCAAAUCAUUUACCUAUGUCACCAAGCAUUGCGUUUCAUUUACUGUCUCUCUCACCUCUUCUUGGGCUACAUUUUCUCUCUUUCCUACUAUUUCCCUGUUUGUCUCUUUGCCUUCUCACUCCUGUGCUAUCCGAACUGCCCAUUUCCAAGAACCAAGGGGUAGCACUUCUUCAGCUGUGGUAGGAUGAGGGGUUUGAGGAGAGGAGUGGGAAAUCUCAGCUGCCAAAGCAACUGACUGUCCGGGUUUGGUUUUUGCUUUGUCUCUGUCCUGGCUUGUGCCUUUGUAGAACUCCAUUUACCUCUGCUCUGUUUCCCCAUCUGUAAAAUUACAACAGGGAGUUUAGGAAAUAAAGGCACAGAAAUGAAA